CUCAGAUUGAACGCUGGCGGCAGGCCUAACACAUGCAAGUCGAGCGGUAGCACAGAGAGCUUGCUCUCGGGUGACGAGCGGCGGACGGGUGAGUAAUGUCUGGGAAACUGCCUGAUGGAGGGGGAUAACUACUGGAAACGGUAGCUAAUACCGCAUAAUGUCGCAAGACCAAAGUGGGGGACCUUCGGGCCUCAUGCCAUCAGAUGUGCCCAGAUGGGAUUAGCUAGUAGGUGGGGUAACGGCUCACCUAGGCGACGAUCCCUAGCUGGUCUGAGAGGAUGACCAGCCACACUGGAACUGAGACACGGUCCAGACUCCUACGGGAGGCAGCAGUGGGGAAUAUUGCACAAUGGGCGCAAGCCUGAUGCAGCCAUGCCGCGUGUAUGAAGAAGGCCUUCGGGUUGUAAAGCACUUUCAGCGGGGAGGAAGGCGAUAAGGUUAAUAACCUUGUCGAUUGACGUUACCCGCAGAAGAAGCACCGGCUAACUCCGUGCCAGCAGCCGCGGUAAUACGGAGGGUGCAAGCGUUAAUCGGAAUUACUGGGCGUAAAGCGCACGCAGGCGGUCUGUCAAGUCGGAUGUGAAAUCCCCGGGCUCAACCUGGGAACUGCAUUCGAAACUGGCAGGCUAGAGUCUUGUAGAGGGGGGUAGAAUUCCAGGUGUAGCGGUGAAAUGCGUAGAGAUCUGGAGGAAUACCGGUGGCGAAGGCGGCCCCCUGGACAAAGA
rnacentral:rRNA from 1 species